CUAUUACUCUCUAUUCCCUUCCUAUGCAGGAUGUAGGAAGUGGGGAUGUUUAAUUGCAGAACAGGCAAGCACUGCUUCUCCUCCUGGGCAUUAGGGGAAGGGGGUCUGCCUCUGCUUGGAACAGAUCCAACCCUCAUCUCCUGUCGUGCUGGGGGUCGGCACAGGGGGGUUAAAGCAAUGGCCGCACGGCUCUGGGUCUGCUGUGCCGGCAGGUGCGCCGAAUUGUGCGCUAAUGAAGGAGAUGCUCGCCUAACUGCCACCUGAUUAAAAUGCUAAUGCAGGGAGCCCGCUAUCAGCUGUGUUGUUGCUGGGGGGUGGGGUUGGGCUUUUUGCAGUUAGUUGGGUAGAGCUCGACCUGCAUGGAGGAGCUCAGCACCUUGACUGCAUCCUGUGAGGCUGAAAGAGGAGGAGGCAUUUGAGCAGAGCUCUGCAGUUCCUUCCACCUCCUUUGGGGUGUUCCCACCCCCUCUGCUUCCUUUCUCGUUCUGUCCCUGCAGCUGAGGGACCAGAGCGGUAGCAUCAGUUUUGACUGGUGGAAAGGAGGUGGCAGGGCCAUGAUCCCAGAGGACAUUCAGAGACUCCUGGAAGAUGCUGAGUGCUUCCUGGUGGAUGGGCUGCAGAAUGAAAACUUGAGCCCUAAAGCAAGGGAGCAGAGGAACACAAUUCUCUUUGGCUUCCAGCAAGCCAAAGCCAGGUACCACUUGGAGUUUCUGCCCCGAGGACCCUGCAGCUCCACGGCCCCGCUCUCCCGGCCGGCUUUGCUCACCCCAGCGUUGCGGAGCGGCGGCCCCGCGCGAUGCUGCGCGCUGCAGCCCCCCCUGCUGGCCGCGUCGCGUUACUGCAGGCCGAGCCGCCCGCUCCGCUGCGGGGAGGAAUCCGUGCGAGAGCGCUUCGACUUCCUCGUCGGUUUUGCCCAUAAGCGGUAGUUUUAGUGGACCAUUAAUUUGUUUUACUGCUCGCAAUUAGUAAAAAGUGGAUCUCGAGUGUGCGAAAUUAGUCUUUGGGUUGGAUUCGCGUGUCAGCUGGCCGAGACCCGUUUGGGUCAACGUUUGGCAAACAAGGAUAAAUGGGCUCCUCCUGAUUGAGAGGAGGUCCCACGCUUUGCUUUUGACCCCUAUUGCAAUGAAGUAAACCUGCCCUGCUCACAGAAUGCAGCAUAAACAAAGAGGAGUUAUUUUCUGCACGUAGUUUCCCCCACCCCGUCCCAAGAAAACAUUUAUUAAGUGGGAUAAACACUUCAAGAUCCAUAGAUAAGGGUUCUUUUUUGUGGUUUGUGAAGAGUGCUGCUGCUGUUGGUAUGGUUGGGGAGGGGAGGAAGGCCACGUGUGCACACUCAGAUGUAUGCAACCUUACUAAAAGGAACUUAGGAUCUGAGUGCAGAAACUCUGCGUGUACCAAAACCCUCAGCUGUUGGUGUAUUAAUCACAGGGACAAAUCACACAAAUCCAUAUGGGUGCUUAGGAGCUGAUGAAGCCUUUAAGGCAUUCAAAAAAGAAACCUCAUACAUUUCCCAGCGCAUAAAUGUGUUUUAAAAGGUAUGUAAUUUAUAAUAGCAACGUUGACAGAGUUUUAACUACACUGCAAAAGCUAAACUGUAAUAUAUUUGCGUGUGAGCAGUGCUUACUGUGUGGGUGCGUCUCUGUUGAUGUGUUUCCAUGUGAUUCUCUGUAAUUUCAGCACUGAUUGUAGUCAGGGAUAUUAAACCAUAGUAUUGAUAAUACUUUUACAGCUCUGCGUUGGGAAAUGCCUUCCUGCUAAAUUAGUCCCUGAAAAUGUAGAGAUAUUAACAGUGCCGAGCGUGGAGGCAGACGGGACUUGGAUCAGAGGCCUUUAUUUUGUAGUGUGAUGCUGAAGAGUCAUUACUUUAAAGCAGGAACUUCGUUUCCUUGAAUAUUAAGUGGAGUUGGGGAUUUUUGCUUCCGCUUUGGCGUGAAAUUCCUUAUCAUAAAGUGUAAAUGGAACCCGCUCGGUAUUGAUUUUUCUUGUGCUCUAAAAAGAUGCUUAAUGAAACUCUGGGUACUCAAAGGCCUCCACUGCAUGCCAAGUGAGCUUAAUUGCAGUUCCCUUAACAAGCUACUGGAGAUGCUCCCCUUUCUACAAAGCAGCCCUUUCACCUACUUAAGUCCUUUUUCUUUCUGUCUGUCGUGAUGCUUUAAUUCACUUUUUGAAUAUAUAUGAAGGAUGAAGUACAGCUUAAAGAAUCACAGGAUGGCCUGGGUUGAAAAGGACAUCAAUGCUCAUCCAGUUCCAACCCCCUGCUGUGUGCAGGUCGCCAACCAGCAGCCCAGGCUGCCCAGAGCCACAUCCAGCCUGGCCUUGAAUGCCUCCAGGGAUGGGGCAUCCACAGCCUCCUUGGGCAACCUGUUCCAGUGCCUCACCACCCUCUGGGUGAAAAACUUCCUCCUAAGGGGAAAAAAAUAGAAAAAAAAAGAAGGAAACCUCAGGCUCCAACUUCAUAUUAACUGCCCCCCUCCUCACUUUGUGGAAAGGGAGAAAGGCAUUUUCUGACAAAACAGAGCAAAACAGAGCCUGAAUGGAAGAUUUCUUCAGCAUUUAUCCUAAGCUCUGCCUUCUGCCAGCUCCCAGCCCUGCUCUGCUAGAGCUGCAGGACUCAUUUCCAGCACCACGAGCACAAAGUGCAGCUCAGAUGGCCCUUCCUUGCAGCCAGCAGCACCUGUGCUGCUUCCUAAUUGAGUUUUUUGCAUUCCCUUCUUGGUAAUAUCUUUGCUUGACCUUCCAGCACACGAUGUGCUGACCUCCAAGCAGGCCCUGCUCAGUGCCCACCAGCAUGGAUGCCUGGGCCUGGCAUCCCAACCCUGGGGACGCAAUUUGUCCCUCUGCAGUUUGCCCAGUAGAGGCACACGAAGCAUCUGUGUUAAUUACAGACAGUGCCUUCAAGCCUCUCUUUCUGCUGCUGUGCAAGAAGCUGUUUCCACAGAAAACAUCAGGCAGCUGAAUGAUGGCUUUCCUUCCUUCCUUCCCCCUUUUCCUCCCUUCCCCAUCUUUCCUAUCUUCCCUGUGCCACGACAAUCACAAAGCAAGAAAAGGCACUGAGCACACUCAGGAGUAGCCAAGCAGUGCCAGGGGACCCCAGGAUGAGGUGUAAGGCCAAGGAACCUCUCGCUCUUCCCCCUUGGAGUCAGUCUUGCAGUUGUUCAUGCUCCGAAGCACAAUGAGUUGGGGGUUUUGCUGAGGAUCUGAGUGGGAAGAUAGAGCAGCUCUGCGUCAGGUGCAGGGUAAUUAUUUGCUGGAGUUCUGUGCUAUUUGGUUUUUAUUCCCCGUGUUUUCAUUAAAAGCUAAUGAGGUUUUUUCUUCCUCCGUUCAAAACAAUAGCUUGGCCCCUGACAAGUUGUUGGUUAUUUUUUCUGCUUGGACUCAACUUGCUGUUGCUGCUCCAUAAACUUAAUGGAAAAGGAGAUGAAAGCACGAAAGUUUGCAAAACAAAUCCUUGUUCCUUUCCUUUGUAACUCGCACUGAGUGGCUGCGUGCAGAGCAUUUGUUGAUUUUUGGUGUUGCAGCUCUAAAGCAGUUUAAAAGUAUUCCUAAUGCUAAAGCAAACAGAAUGCCUUUGUGUUGCAGUCGCUCAUGGUUUGGAGCCCUGCUGGGCUUGGCACUGCCUUGUAUGUACAUUCUGCAGCCUCUGCAUUCUUGAGUGGGUUACUGCAAUGUGUGAAAGCCUGGUGUGCACUCCUGUGUGCAGAAAGUGAGCCUGCUGCAAGGAAGAGCACAUCCUAUCAGUGGUGACAAGCCCUCCUCUCUGUUAUUUCACAUCUGAGAACCGUUCUGCCAAAACAGAGACCUGUGGCUUAAUGCUUACACAUGGUUUAUGCAUGCAGCAACUACUCCUGAUGUUAAAGGCAGUGACUUAUUCUUGCAGGUAACUUUGCUGCCCGGGUCCUUGUUCCAAGCAAUGCGCUGCAGCCACGCUUCAAUGCAUGAGCUGCUCCUCCCCAGUGUGGCUGCACCGUGCCGUGCUGCUCCUGCUAUUCAGAAACCAUAAACAGUUUGCUCAUUAUCACAAUAAUGCUGCACCUGUACCUCGUUAUAGGGGAACACCUGUUACCUCGGUGUUGGCUUGAAAAGCCUGGAGCGCUACAGUGCAGUUUGCUUGGUUCUUUUAAGGGAUUCAGGCUGAAUUGGGUUCACAGGAGCUGUCUUGCAAUGCUGCUAUUGUUGCAGUGCUGCAAAUAAUCAGGCCCACAACACUGCAGCAUGGCACGUAGGAAGGCUGCUCGUUAGAAUGCGUGCAUGUAGUGCAAGGAUGGAAGAUCUCUGCAGUGCAACUCCCACUUAGGUGUGAUCGUGCAGCAGGAUUUGCAGCCUGCCCUUUUGGGUUGGGGACCUGCAGCUUUCUUCUUGGUGUGGGAAGAGGUUGGUAAUGCAGGUGCUGAACGACGCCCUUUCCAAAAGUUUUUUCAUAGAAUGAUAGAAUGGCCUGGGUUGAAAAGGACCUCAAUGAUCAUCAGUUCCAACCCCCUGCUGUGUGCAGGGUCACCAACCAGCAGCCCAGGCUGCCCAGAGCCACAUCCAGCCUGGCCUUGAAUGCCUGCAGGGAUGGGGCAUCCACAACCUCCUUGGGCAACCUGUUCCAGUGCCUCACCACCCUCUGUAUGAAGAACUUCUUCCUAAUAUCCAACCUAAACCUCCCUAUUUUCUGAAUAUAUAUAUUUUUCCUCCAUCAGACUGCGUGCUGGGAUGGCUGCUGGAAGCAAAUAAGCACAGAGCUGGAAAGAGUGCUGCUUCCUCAGUACUUUUCUUAUUUCUUGGUGGUGGGAGGAGGACACCCUCCUGUUCCAGCCCUUCAUUACCUUUUCAUCAGUGCUUGAUUCAAACUACAGGGCACGGUUUCUGUGUUUGCUAAGAUAAACCUUGUUUGGAACUUAGAUUUUUUUUCCUGUUUGAACGCAAUUAACAUCAGCUGAAAACUCACCUUCGGUGCUGUUUGUUGUGUGCUGAAUGAGGAGCCAGCUGUCUUUACCUCCGUUAUCAGCAGUCUGGGCUGUGUGUAUUCAGGA
ensembl:lncRNA